CCUACGGGAGGCAGCAGUGGGGAAUAUUGGGCAAUGGGCGCAAGCCUGACCCAGCAACGCCGCGUGAAGGAAGAAGGCUUUCGGGUUGUAAACUUCUUUUCUCAGGGACGAAGCAAGUGACGGUACCUGAGGAAUAAGCCACUGCUAACUACGUCCCAGCAGCCGCGGUAAUACGUAGGUGGCAAGCGUUAUCCGGAUUUACUGGGGGAAAAGGGCGUGUAGGCGGGACGGAAAGUCAGAUGUGAAAACCAGGGGCUCAACCUGUGGCCUGCAUUUGAAGCUGUAGUUCUUGAGUCCUGGAGAGGAAGACGGAAUUCCUAGUGUGGCGGGGAAAUGCGUAGAUAUAAGGAGGAACACCAGUGGCGAAGGCGGUCUGCUGGACAGCAACUGACGCUGAGGCGCGAAAGCGUGGGGAGCAAACAGGAUUAGAUACCCUGUAGUC
rnacentral:rRNA from 1 species